GGGAAUAUAUUAGAGUGGCAAACUUUCUGGGAUUCGUAUGAAUGCGCCAUACAUUUAAACCCUUCAUUGACCGAUGUCCAGAAAUUUAAUUACCUCAAAGCACAGUUACAGAAUGAAGCAUUACGCACCAUAGCUGGUUUUGCACUUACUAAUGCAAACUACGCAGACGCCAUUAUUUUAUUGAAGGAGAGAUUCGGACAAACACAC
rnacentral:lncRNA from 1 species